AGGAACAAAAGAAACAUUUUUGUCUAUGUUUUUAUGUAUUACAAAAAUAUGAAAUAUCUACAUUUCAUAUUUUCAUGUUAUUCACGAGUUUAAAUCAUUUAAGAACUUUUGAUCUAAUACUUUAUAUUAUAUAGAUAUAUUAUAAUUAUGCAGCGAAGAUGUUGGAUAAAAAGGUAAAAGUACUGGUAUACACUUUUGAGUUUGUAAUAGGAAUUAAUUGAAAUGUCAACUCUUUAUAUUAAAUAUUAAAAGCGCAACAUUAAGACAUAGAAUUACAGUUAAAUGCAAUAUAAUUAUUAAACACAUGCAAAAGGGACUGAAGUGUGAAUUGUUACUGUGUAUUCCAUAUCUCACAAAAAUUGUAAACACACUUUACAAGUGUAGGAUAAGUCGACUUUGGACAAUCAUGGUCAGAAGUACAAGGAACGCGAGCUGCAUUGUCAAAUAAGAAAAAAUAAAUAUUAUUAAAAGAUGAUGUAAUACUAUAUAUAAGAGAAAUUUGAAAAUGGUGUGAAAGGUGACAUACUUCUACUCGUUACAACAAAAAAUAAAGAAGAAAAGACGAUCAAAGCAUAAUAAAACAUGAUCAUUUGAGUCAUGAUUUUCUCUUUUGUAUGUAAGAAAUAGAAUUAUAUUGAUCCCUUUAUAAAUAAAACUUCCAUACUUUGUUAACUUCAAUUAAAUAGUUUUUAGCAUUUACAAAUUGCAAAAAGUCAUUUAUAAAACUUGAACUGAUGUUAAGUGACUCUUAUCAACAUUUGUGUUUAUCCAUUUAGCUCACUUAAUUGACCACUUAACAUUAGUAAAGAUCACACCAAAUCUAAGUGAUCAUCAAAGUUCACUAAAUUUUUUUUGUAUAUAUUUUUAAUUAGUAUUUUAGCCUUUCAUAUUAAUAAGGAAAAUCCUAAAGGAGAAACAAUAAUAAUAAAUGAUAAAAAAAACUAAUUAUAUAAAUAACGCAUUGAAGAGAUGACGUAUAAACUAAAUAACAAUGUUAUUUUGACAUCGUAUUCUUAUACUGACACAAAUACUGUAUGUCACUCUCUACAUAUCCUGUAAACAGUUACAUUUAUAAUUUUAACUUUUCUAUAUCACUUUUUUUCUUUUUCUAAAUAAAAUUUGAUUAUUGGUAUAUAUAAAAUUGGUUAAUAUAAUUUAUAGUUUGAUUAAUAUGUAUCUUGACAUUAAAAAGUAGUAUUAAGUAAAAAAAUGAUUAAUUAAGUAUAAUAAAUUUGUUAAUAUAAUUCUUAAUUUAGUUAAUGAAUGAUGUUAUACAAUAAUAAAGUUUUAUAUGGUAAAUCAGUUCCGGUUAAUGGUAUAUAUAUGGUUGGUUAAUAUAUUUUAUAAUUUGAUUAAUGAAUUCUCAAACAUAAAAAAAAUUAGUAGUAAAAGAAAGUUGAUUAAUGAAGGGUAAAGCCAUGUUAAUACAUUUUAUAAUGUGUGAAAAUGAUAAAUAUUAUUUAUUUUAUUGGUUAAUAAAGUAGCGAAAAUGGUUAAUGAAUUAUAAGUAAAAUGGUUAAUGAUAAAUAUUAUUUAUUUUAUUAUUUAUUUCAAAUUAAAGUUUUGAUCCAUUUUUCUUCUGAUUAUCCGUGUUUUAGGGUUUGUGAAUGUGAUUUGACUUAACCUAGUCCUAAGUUGAUGAGGUUCAUACAUUAAAAUUAAAUAAAAUGCUAAUUGACAAUAUUCUUGGCUAAUAAAAAUGAUUAAUAACCUAUAAUAUUUUCAAUAAUAUCUUAAUUAUCUGGAAUCUGCUCAAUAUUCUACCGAUUAAUAAUCUAAUCCAAUACCAACUUUACUAAAUACCUAAUAAAACCAAACAAUAGUCUAAUAAUCUAAUAAUUUACCCGAUUUGGCCAAUAAUAUAAUCUAACCAAAUUAAUAAAGUAAUUAGUAAUUUGUCUUAAUAUUUAAUAAUUUUAUUAAUAUUAAACCCAUAUAAGGACACAAACAAAAUAUAAUAUUAUUAGCAAUCCUAUUAUUUAUUCUAUACUAUUAACACUAAUUAACUUCUAAAUACCAAAUAAAGAUAGUGAUUUUCAAAUUAAAAUAUUUUCUAGCAAGAUAAUAAUAACCUUUUAGCCAAAUUUUUAUUAUAUCCUUCUAAUUAGUUAAUUGAAUAAAAAUUAUUAAAAUCUAAACAAUACCCUUAAGAUCUCAAAAAUAGCAACUAUAGUCUAGACUAAAAAAAAAGUAAAAAUGACCCCCUUUGACUUUUUAGGUCAUUGGGAUUGACCAGAUGACUUGUAUGGGACUCUGGAUGCUAAUACACUAUACUCUAAGUUAGAUAAAAAGAAAAAAUGGGUGGUCAAAAUUUGAAGUACGAUAGUUAUGUUUGUAUAUUAUUAUAUAUUUCAUGUACUUUAUGUGCUCAUAGAGUUAUGCUUAGAAUAAUAUAUCCAUCAUAUUUGAUAUUUAAUUUUCUUCUUAAUGCAUGAUAUAUCUAUAUUAUGUUUUUGGAUCUUUUAGGUUCCACAGGGUCUCAUAGGUAUACAUCAAGGGUAUAUUUUUUCUUAUACAUUGAGGAACAUGAUCGUUUAUAACAUGAUAUGUGGAUUUAGCUAAUGCUGAUAGGUGAUGUUAGAUUUAUACCUAGAGAAUAAUCUCUCAUGGGUUAGAGUCUAGAUAUAGAUAUAGACGUGGUAUUCACAUAUAUUAUUGAAGCAUGGUGCUUUCUAAUUUUUAUUAGAAUAGAAUAUUGUCAAUAAACAAACGAGUGAUGUCAUGAUGUUAUUUCAGACAUGGAUAACAUUGUUAAGCUAUAGAUAAUAAUAUGUAUUGAAGGUUAAAAUAAGCAUAAUUUCUCAUAUGAUAUGCAUAAAAUUAUCUUAAUUGCAAUACCUAACAUCGCACUCUCUAUCAUUUUUAUUUAUACUAUUUUACUUUCUUUUAUUUUUAUGAAUAAAAAAACCUCUUUAAAACAACUAAAAUGUUUUUCAUGCUUAGAGUUGUAAUAAUUAUAAAUAACACACAAUGUUUCCUAUUUAAACAUUGUAAAAUAAACACAACAAUUCUAUCCUUUAUUAGCCCAAGGCGUACGUAUCUCUUGGAAGGAGAUGUUUUUCUCAUGUAAUCCAUUUUUCCUUUACCAAACAUAUGAAAUAUAAUCUUUUCAUUUUGCAUCUUGAUUUCAAUUUAUUUUCUUUCGACGUUUAUAUUCAUCCUCGGAUUCUACAUGAAUGGUUGACCUAAAAUCCUGGGAACUUGUUUGUCCUUCUUGAUAUCCAUAAUCGUGAAAUCAACUAGAAAAGGAAAUCUAUCUACUUGUGCUAUCAUGUUUUCUGUAAUUUAUUUGGAUGUUUGAUGGAUAUAUGUCAGAAAGUUGCAACAUUAUCUUGGUUUCUUUCACCACUACAUCACCAAGUUUCUAAGUUACUGAAAGGGGUAUCAAUUUAAUAUUGACUCCUAAAUCUACAACGGCCCUUCCAAUUCAUAUGGUCUCCAAUUAUGAGUAGCAAUGUAACUCUUCCUAGAUUAUUUAGUUUUGUAUAUGUAUUGUUAUGAACUAUAGCACAAUCAUUUUCUUCUACAUGUAUAAUUCCUGGCUCAAUAUAUAUAUGUCUUUAUAUGUAAAUAAGUCCAAGAACAUUUUUUAUAUUAUUCAAUUUUCAUCAAUCUCAUCUUCUGAUUCAUAUACUUAUUCAUUUGAUUCAACAAAACAUCAUUAUCAAAAAUAAUUAGAUUGAACUCAAGAUGAUGUUUACUUACCACACCAUCAACCAUAAUCUUAUUGCAGCAUUUGUUUUUAUUUUCUUGUAUGUUGACUUUGAAUGUGUCUCCUGACUUGUCAUUUAUUCGCUUGAUAUUAUAUUCUAUUUGGAUUUCCAAGCUUGAAAUAAAGACUUUUUUUUGUUGACAAUUGACAUAUGUAUGAACUUGUUUAGAGUAUCUUUCAACUUCUUUUCAAAUUGUGGCUAGCAUUGAUUAUAACUUGAGAAUGGUUGUCUUUUGGAUGGUCCAUCAUUAUGUCUUCAUCCUUGAUCAAAAUUGUUUCCUCUUUGAAAUUUAUUUCAUCCUUGAAAAUUUUUGGUGCCUCUUUAGUAUAGAUUCUGACUUUGAUAAUUCAAAUGAUUAUCCUAUUCAUCACCAUGAAGACAAUAUCUAGUUUGGUGGUAAUAUUCACAUAACUCACAAAAUUAAUUUUUUUAGGCUUACUAGAAGGUUCUUGCAUUUGUUUUAAAUUUCUACAAAAUAUUUGAUAAUUGUUUUGAGAGCUCUUCCACAACCCAUGUGAGAAGCUUAUUUUACGAAAACAUAACAUCAUUUAUGUUUAGAUGCAAUACUUCUGAUUUCCUUUGGUUUGGUCCUUUGUUGUACUCACCUUGGUGAUUACUAAUUAACAUUCUAUCAAUAAUCAUGAUUGCAUCAUUUGUACUUUAAGCCAUCAAUGGACCACCUGCAUGACAUCGAGUAACAACUUCGAUUGUUGUAAAAUCCCAUUUAUGAAAAUGUGUAUCUCAAAUAAGUCAUUAAAUCCAUGGUUUCGACAUCUUCUAAACAUUGACUUAUAUUUCUCCCGAGCAUCAGAUAACAUUUUUGUUUAAAUUUGUGAAAAUACUAAAAUUGUUGUUUUUUCCUCCAUGAUUUUAUUUAGAGAAGAAAUGAUUAAACAAAUUUCUUCCAAUAUGCUAUAGCUGGUCAUGGUUUGCAUGGUGUGAUAUAGGUACCAAUAUUAUAUUUUCCUGUAAGGGAGCAUGGAAAUAAUCUCUUAAACACAUUUGCUUUUGUUCUUCUUCAUCCUAAUAGUUUGUGAUUUCUCAUAUAAUCUUGCCAGAUGAGUGUAAGGGUUUUCAUGAUCCAGACUUACAAAAGGAUUGAUAGAAGUAGUUUUAAGUAAUCUUGUUUUCAUCUCCUUGUGUUUUGUGCUUCUUGAAGGCCCUCCAAAGUGAGAGAAUAUCUUAUGGCUGCUGAAACAUGGCAUCAUAUGACCACUAGUGGUGUUAUGGUUCUUGUUGCCAUUAUUAAUUCCAUUAUUAUUUUUCGAUUUUAUUCAUUAUUGUUGUUUUUUUGUUGUUGAUUUACUUCAAUGUCAUCUUCUUAAUUAUCACAAUUGUUGUGGAAGUGUUUGCUUAUUUUGCUUUUUGUUGAUUUUGAAGAGUAGUUCUUUCUAUUUCAUAAUCAAAAGGAACUAAAAUUUAAUUUUGCAAAAACUAGAAAGCAAGUUAACAAUAACAAGAAAGAUAAAUAAUUUUAAAAACAGAAAUAUAUACACAAUAUGAACAAAAAAAUCACAAAUUAACUUAAAUUAAAAAAAUUACAAAUAAGAUAUAAACUCAAAUCAUCAUUCCCCAACAAUUGUGCUAGUUUGUUGAUUCUCUCGUUACAAUAAAUAGAAGUGUAAUGAUUAUGUCAACAAAAAUCACAAUACAAUGAGUAAAAUUACUAUAUCCAUAGACAAUGGUGAGAAAGAUAAUGCUAUAUGUAAUUAUUAUUAUUCUAGUAAAAAGUGUCUGUGAGAUAAAACAAAACAAAGUAAAAAUUAGAGAAUGUAAGUGAUAUAGAGUCUUAGGUUGCCACUAUUAUGGUAACAUACAUAUUAAUGAUCAAUUAUAGAUACUUUAAUUCAUAUUAUCAUAUAUAAACAAUAUGAUACCAUUAAGUUUCAAUAUUUACAUGUGAAUACCUCGUCUAGAUUUAUCUCUAAAACCUAUCUCAUGAUAAAUGAUUGAUUAAAUUUAAGAUCACCUCUUAACAUCAAAUAGACCCAUAAAUCAUAUUAUAAACAAUGAAGUCCUUUUAAACAUAAAUCAGUAAAUUAUUCCUUUAAUAUUUUGAAUCGAUUAACCUACGAUGAUCUCAAGGUAAUAUUUCAAGGUAAUAAAAUAGGAUUAAUGCAAAAUGGGGGGUUUCUAUUCUACCUCGUGUGUAAGUAAAUUAAUAAAUAUGUGAAUACAACAUAAACAAAUUACACACUUAUGAGUUCAAUUUCCUUUCUAUGUGUUUCAUUUUAUCUUUUAUGCCGACAUAUCAACUACGACAUCAUCAUACCGCGUUGCGUUGCCCUAUAGGUUGCAACAUGUUUUUUCCCGUUAACUUACAAAAAAUUAAAGCUUCAUGGAAUUUCUCAAAUUUAUUUAUUUUUCUUCCAAUCUUGUGUCCAAUUCUUUUACAUUCUUGUUCUCGUAAUUUCUAUAGUGAAAACACGGCAGAAUAAUUCUUAUUAGGCUGAUUUUGACACAUAUUGAUUUUGUUAGGACGAUUUUGACACAUAUUGAUUUUGUUUACAAUGCUUCGAAAUCUUAUUUAAAAGAAGAAAUAUCACAAAUGAUUAUAAGUAAAAAAUAAAAAUAAAUAAAGUUAAAUAUGCUAAAAAGCAUGCUAUGAUUGACUCUCAUCGCGCUAUAUUUUUUCCAUAGAAUUAGAGUGAACGUUAGAUAUAACUUUGAUUAAAUUGAUAAUUCAUGUAUAAGUUUUGAAUUUGUGCUGAUUUGUUUCUUGUUUAUGUAUCCUUGAUUAUUAAUAUAGCAUGGAGUUUGUGUGUGGCCGCUAAAGUUUACUUAGUUUUUCUAUAUUACUUAGUAUUGAAGAUGUGGGUGGGUUAGUGAAGUUUUAAACGUGUGUUAAGAGAAUAACUUAAAAGAUGAGUAAAUAUGAUAUCUUAACUUGUCAAUGAGGUAGUUCUAAAAAAAAUCUACUAGGAUUCAAAUAGGAACAAAAGAAACAUUUUUGUCUUUGUUUUUAUGAAUUACAAAAAUAUGAAAGAUAUAUAUAUAUAUAUAUAUAUAUACUAUAUAUAUAUACUAUAUUAUAUCAUAUAUAUAUAUAUAUAUAUAUAUAUUGUCAUGUUAUUCAUGAGUUUAAAUCAUUUAAGAACUUUUGCCCUUUAUAUUAUAUAGAUAUAUUAAAAUUGUGCAGCGAAGUUGUUGUAUAAAAAGGUAAAAGUACUGGUAUACACUUUUAAGUUUGUAAUAGAAAUUAAUUGAAAUGCCAUAGAAACAAAAAAACCAACUCUUUAUAGUAAAUAUUAAAAGCGCAACAUUAAGACGUACAAUUACACUUAAAUGUAACAUAAUUAUUAAACACAUGCAAAAGGGACUGAAUUGUUACUAUGCAUUCCAUAUCUCACAAAAAUUGUAAACACACUUUAUAAGUGUAGGAUAAGUCGACUUUGGACAAUCAUGAUCAGAAGUACAAGGAACGCGAGCUGCAUUGUCAAACAAGAAAAAAUAAAUAUUAUUAAAAGAUGAUGUAAUAUUGUAUAUAAGAGAAAUUUGAAAAUGGUGUGAAAUGUGACAUACUUCUACUAGUUACAAUAAAAAGUAAAGAAGAAAACAAGAUCAAAGCAUAAUAAAACAUGAUCAUUUGAGUCAUGGUGUUUCUCUUUUGUAUGCAAGAAAUAG
rnacentral:lncRNA from 1 species